GAUGAACGCUGGCGGCGUGCCUAAUACAUGCAAGUCGAGCGAACAGAUAAGGAGCUUGCUCCUUUGACGUUAGCGGUGGACGGGUGAGUAACACGUGGGUAACCUACCUAUAAGACUGGAAUAACUCCGGGAAACCGGGGCUAAUGCCGGAUAACAUGUUGAACCGCAUGGUUCUACAGUGAAAGGCGGCUUUGCUGUCACUUAUAGAUGGACCCGCGCCGUAUUAGCUAGUUGGUGAGGUAACGGCUCACCAAGGCAACGAUACGUAGCCGACCUGAGAGGGUGAUCGGCCACACUGGAACUGAGACACGGUCCAGACUCCUACGGGAGGCAGCAGUAGGGAAUCUUCCGCAAAGGGCGAAAGCCUGACGGAGCAACGCCGCGUGAGUGAUGAAGGUCUUCGGAUCGUAAAACUCUGUUAUUAGGGAAGAACAAAUGCGUAAGUAACUGUGCGCGUCUUGACGGUACCUAAUCAGAAAGCCACGGCUAACUACGUG
rnacentral:rRNA from 1 species